GAUCUGUAUACUUCUCAGGGUGGGAGUAGGCCAGGGAGAAGAAAAUGCUCAUGGCACCAAAGAGUCUCUGUGUGGUUUUUACAAGAACAAGAAGAUGAAUAUGGGGAAAAAUUUUCUCGCAAAAGACUUCGCUCCCUGUGCCAACCGGAAUGGCCAGCCUUUGGGACACUGGAACCCCAUUGGAAGGGACCAUUUCCCCUUGUCCUGGUGACCCCCUCAGUGGUGAAGGUAGCUGGACACUCUGCCUGGAUCCACUGUGGUCAUUUGAAGGUGGCACCCCCUGAGGAAGCAAUGUUGACAUGGCAGAUCGACUGGAACAAAGAGGACCCCCUCAAGAUAAGAUGAAUCAAGGACUGAGAUGGGUAAAGUGGGGAUUUAUAGGAACCUUGGUCCUGUUGGCUCGGGUACGAGGAGAUGUUCAAUGGCUGGUGCCUUCCAGCCAUGCCCCCAAAAUUGGACAUGGUCUCUCAAAAAUUCACUUACUGGAGCCCUGAUUGCCAUUGUCACAACAGACAGACAGCCCAUCUUUCAGGUUGACUUGUGUGAUAUAGGACUAGUUACUGGGACUGUGGGAGUGUCUGAUGUUGCAGAACCAUGUUCAGAUCCCUCUUCAACCCCUGGGGGAAAACGGGGAUGGUCUACACUUAACAGAAAAAAGGGUCUCCAGACCAUAGAUAUUUAUGCAUGGCCUAUAUGUAAAGACCCAAAAUGUAAUGGGGGGCCAGGAUACCAUUGUUACUAUUGGGGCUGUGAGUCCAUAGCCCCAUGGAAAAAUAAUGACCAGUAUUUAGCCUUGGAGCAGCGAACAGCUAGUAGCUCAUGCUCCCUGGGACAUUGUAACCCCAUUCGGUUAAUGCUAAAACAAUGGCAAAACCCAUACAAAGAAUGGGAGGAAGGUAAAUCUUGGAUGGUGGCACUGAAUACAAAUGGGCAAGACCCAAUGACAGACAUCAUCAUUCAGUGAAGUCUGGUAGUGACACCACCCAAACCAGUGGGAAACCUUUAUAAGAUAUUGAGCCCCCCAAAAGGCAGUGGCCAACCCCACAGGCGCAGAGGAAAUUCCACUUCCUCACUGCUGAGAAAGAAAACACGCACUCACCCCGCUUGCUGCCUGGGUAACACCCUACCCAACAAGGUCCCUGUAACUGCCCCAGAGUCACCAAUCCAACCAUACUUCAAAAUGCUGGGUGC
rnacentral:lncRNA from 1 species